GUGCCCAGUAAGCUAGACUCGAGGGUGUCUGGUAUUUUCACUUUUUAGUAAAUUACCUUACUGGAAGCUUAAAAUUUGCUUCUGAGUUGGCCUUCAAAGCUAGAGUGGAAUAGCUGUUCUAGCCUUAGGUUGUAGUGUUCCCUGCAGCGCCUCAGAUACUCGGGGAAGUUAAUAUAAGAGAUAGUCUUACGUAAGUAGUGAAUAAGGAAACGGCCACAUUGUCCAGUAAUGCAUAAGAAGUGGAGGAACGUUUUCUGGACUUGUGAUAAACAAUUCUGUUAAGUAAAAGAGCAGUUCUAUUACCUGUCUAAUUAAGAAUUUAUUUCCAAUUUAGCAGUUAUGCAGCUCAAAAACAAUAUUUGGCUUUAUAGUAAAUUUGUUUCUAAAUCUAAUAACUUUAAAAUAGAAGCUUAAGUAAAUAUUACUUAAAACCUAAAACUAGGGUGGUUUUCUUUUCUAAUGCAGCUUUCCCUGUUGAGGCUUUUGUUUCUUCUUAAAUUUAUAUUCUAUUUUAGACAACAUCGUAUAUAGCACAGGAAUUUGCAGAAGCCAUUUAAGUUUUUUGAGGUCAGCGCUGAGUUAGCAUUUAUUGUUUUGAUGAGACGUAACACAUCAUGGGAUAUAUAUAUAUAUAUAUAUAAAGAACUUAAUUCUUGUGGUGCAGUGUUGAUAGUUUUGAAUGUUGCCUAAAUGUCUAUGAGGUUGUGAGUUUGUCAUUGUUACAUUCCAGUGUUUCUGCCUCUUGGCAUGCUUAAAGCACGGCUUACUUCAUCCGCUCCUUACACACUAAACUGCUCUUAGUGUGCUCAACUACAGAGAUAGCCGCUGCUGAGUGAUGUAGAUUUUCUACUUGAAUAUUUUUAUGUUGUAGGAACCUCAGGAGGUCAGUGUUUACUGUUUUAUAUAUGCCUUCUUUUUCCUGUUUGAGCUUCUCUCUCUGAAGGAUUCUAACAGAACAAAAGCUGCUGAUCAACCUAAGUUGGAAACAGAAAGUGUGUCUAGUGUCGUUGAAACACGUACUUAGCAGUCCCAUGUCACAGCCCAUUAAUUAGCGAGUGAACUUAGUGCCACAGGUGUUCAUUUACUUGGGAAAUGGUUUUGCUUUUUGUAUUGUCUAAUCUCUUUAAUGACUUCAUACUGUGUAAGAAAAAUCACUUUUGUAUUGUUUGUUGGUUAUUUCCAAAUAACUGACUUGUAAAUACCCUUAGAGCCAGUUCGAUGCUUUACAUCACUGCUACCUGAUUUUGUUAUGCAGCCUAGAUCUCAGAUCGCAGAACACUUAACCAAGCCAUUACAUCUUAAAGCAAAACAGGUAGCAACAUUUUGUAAUUAACAUUGAUAAACACUGUGAUUUUUUUGGUUAAAACUUUUUCAUUGAUCUGAAUUGCUUAAAUUGCAUAUAUUGUAAAAUAGAGUCAGAUGUAUAUUUUAAAAUAAUUUCAGCUAACUUUCCUCUGACUGCUUUGUCUACUCAGUUAUGAAAUAUUCAGAUACAAGUUUUAUCUCAGGUGAAUAUCCUUGUAUCAUUUUGCUUUGGUGACAUGUUUAUAAAGAAAGAUCAUCAUACCUUCUAGUCUGUGGGGGUUUGUGAGGUGUUUGGUUUUUUUGUUUUGUUUUGUUUUGUUUUGUUAGAAUUUAAUGUGUUUUCUCCCCAGUUAGUCAGUUUUGCCCCUCUCCAAUUGUUUUAUCAGACUGGAGAGAGAAAUAAAAGGCUCUCCUCACAUUUGAUACGGAGAUUUAACUGAGAAUGAGUUGAGUUUGGUCCUCUCCUUUUCCAGACACUCAAAAUACAAAAGUGGAACCUUUCUCCCUACAUAAAAUUCUGCAAAGUUGGGGUGCCAGAAUUAAAUUAUGUGUUGAACUCUUGUCUCCAUUUAACACCUUUGCAGUGACUUUUUUUUGCUUCACAUAGUUAAUUAUAUUCAUAUUGAAUGUAUUAACAGAUAGAGUGCAAAUGCACUCUUCCCGAGGGAAGCGUGUGUGGUGCACAGCUGCAGCCCUGACCCCUCCUCUGGGGCUUCAGGUGCACACAGCCUCCUUGUGGAGCUACUUCAGCAACUGUUACACGGUGGGGGGACACUAAUUGUUGCUGCUAGUGCUGUUUAAUGACGUGGUCAUGGGAAGCUAUAAGAAAACUGGUUAACACCCUGGGAUAAUUGAGUGGCCUGUGUUGGUAAGGAUUUCUCUAGUUCAGUGCCGUGCGGUAGCAUUGUAUAUCAGCUGGAGCAUUUCAUGCUGCAUUAAAUAUGGCAGUGCUUCUAAGCCUCGUUAACGUUAAGUUUCACAUGAAAGUUAGCUCCUCUUACCUGUGUGCUUUCUAGGUAACUGGAAUCUAACUUCAGGCUUGAUACAGAUCUUCUCCCUGUUGGUAUUACAUAUAUAUAGAUAGAUAGAUAAUUCUCAAUGCCUAAUUAUUAUACUUAUACAUUUGUAAGGUAUAAGCAUAAUUGCAGCAACUGUUGUUAUAGUUUGUAUCCCAGAGUUUAUUGUGUUGACAUAAAAGAUGUGUAGCAGCAGAAUGUGUGCAUGACCUUGAGGGAAGUUCAGGCUGGUUUUCUUUCCCCCCUCUGUACAUUGAACAACCAAGGCAAAUGUAUUGCCAAUCAGAGAUCACUAAUUACAAAGCUCUUUUCCCUUUCAGUAGGAGCUUUUGUUUGUUAUCCAUUGCUGCCGUACUGUGGCUCAGUUCUGAGGAACCCUAUGUCACGGGUCUAGUCAUCUUGUCAAAUGCCUGCUCUAACAUGCUUAGCCUACAAGGCAGUGUUGUCUCCUCCCAAUGGUCACCUCAUAAAGACGUUCCCCUCAUCUUUCUGUCACUGCUCUCCUAUGUGGAUAUAUAUAUAUAACCAGACUGAUUCUUUGGUUUUUUUAUGGAGAUAAUAAUUAGAUAAUACUAUGUAAUUAAUUUUACUUGGUAGAUUAUCAUCUUAAGAGAUACUUAAAUGUGGUAAAUCACUUCAUAUUAUGAGAGUUUUACACUUAGUAUUCAUGUUAACAUUGGGUGCAAUAACUUAGUAGAACCUGCUUAGUUAUAAAUAACUGGAUCUUUCUGCUGACAACUUAGGUUGUAUGAGUUAUGCUUAAAAGCUUUAAAUCUGAUGUUUCCUGUACCUGCCACACUAUGUUAGAAUGUGUCCUUCAAACAUAUCCUGCAACUUCUCAAACUGUACUAAAUUGGUAGUUCUUGAAGUCUAACUCUGUGCUAACAGAUCUUCAUUUUAAAUAGAAUACGGUUUUAAUUUUUGAUAAGCUGCUGAAUUUUAAAGAGAGUUUUUUGGGGCCACCAAAUAUUUUGGAUCAUGCAGAGAAUAUAUAUUGUACUGUAGUAAUUUUGUAUUUACAUUUGUAUGAUGUGACAUAAUAGAUGUGAAUGUUAAUCACUGCUUGACUAUGUUAAUAAAGUUGUUUAACUAUA
rnacentral:lncRNA from 1 species